CAGCAACAGGAUAAGGUGAGCGCCGCGCCCUUGCCGGUGGACGACUACAGCCGCGGCGCGAGGAGCGCCGGAGUGGAAGGAGCGUCGGGGUGUGUGUGGCGCGGCAGGAGUCCCCACGGUGGCUCACGGCUACAGCCGCGGCCCUCUGCAGUCUGAACCGCGGAGGAGUGGAAGGAGCGCCGGGGAGGGGGACACUCUACGGCGGCGGUGCUUGGGGCUCCGACGAACGGAGGCGGGUGGCGAUAGGAUAAGCUCUGCGGCGACGCCCUGAAGGCCAUCAGCCAUGGCGGUUGCGGCUGCGCGUGCGCCCGCGAGCGGUUGCGCGUGGCUGGAUGUUGCGCACGCGGCCGCCGACAUUCGCCGACCGGCCUACGAGGUCGAGGUAGACUCAUAUGGAACACGAGGCCGAGGUAACGUACGUAUACAAAGCUAGCUACCUAACCAACUGAAUCGGUUUCCUUUCGAUUUUGAUGGAGGAGCUACUGGCUGGAUCAGCUUCUUCAGUGGCGGAGACAGGGGGCGAGCAGGGGCCUGCCCCCCCCUAACCAUCGAGCGAUGCUGUGGUGAUUAGCUAUACAAAGGCACGUAUUUCCCAAGUAUAUACAUACUUAGCCCCCCUUAUCUCAACGUUGAUUCUGGAAAAAGGAAAAAGACCCACGUGAAGCCCACUAGCGGCCAGGUAGUAGGGCGCUGCGUUCUCCUCUGAUGAUUAGCCUGUACGUGGAUUUCGCUCCAAAAAAAAGCAUGUACGUGUAUUAGUACCCAGAAAUUAGUCGCCGCCGUUACGUGCCCUCGCCCGCCCUGCCUCUGCUCUCCUCUCCCUGCCCUGCUGUGAUCUCGAUCCUAUUCAUUCGUACGGCGACGGCGCGACACUGCCUUUUUCACUUGUCAAAUCUUCCGGCUGCAACCAACGGGACUAGCCGAGGACCCAAGGGUUAACACACAUCAGUACAUCACACAAUUAACUAAUCUCAAUUCUCAUCUUAUAUCAUCAGAUUUUUGUUGUCUACUUGUUUUGGUUGUGUGAUUAGUGAUGCUAUGAUUCUAUGAACAGUUCCUAUGUUAUAUGUGUACUAGAAAUUAUCGUGGUCUGAUGCAAAUUACCUUGUAUGAGUUAUUAUUUGGGAUGCAAUUUUUUCCUAUGUCAAACUACAAUAUAGCUAAUUGUGAAAUUGCAAUUCAGCAGAUAUGAAGAGAAAAGCGCCGCCAUACACCGUUAAGAUUAAUUCAUUCUUUAGGCUGGUUGCUUCAAGUUCUCAACCUAGUGAAAUUUUUAAUGACGUAUGUUGGACAUAGUAAAUGUUGUAGACCAAGAACAAAAUUGGCUUAUCAGUGAGACCUUGGUAAACAUUGUCAAAAUUGAGAGCUGCCACUGGACAAGCAAGAUGAAGGUCGACAUUUUUAUAUAUCCGAGGGACCAUAUCUGCCGAAAAGUGCCCCAAAAAACUCUAAACAGUAAUUUACCAUUUAAGCGCCGCCAAAUGGGAUAUGACUUACUUCGGUGUUACAUGGUCAGAUACAUUGAAAAAAUUAGUAGGUAAUUUCUCUUCCAAUGAAAUUAUUAAAUUUUCUCAUCUUAUUGGCAAUUGUAGAGGAAAAUUUAAACUUGUACAAUAUUUUAUAGGUGUGGCGCAUUAUUAUAGUAUGAUGAUAGUUUUUUUUCAGUCGAGACAAAAAAAUAUGAACUUGACUUGGCCCCCCCUAUACCAAAAUCCUGGCUCCGCCCCUGGGCUUCUUGUGGGCGCAUUGGUAGGGGAACUACGCGAGGAACCGAGCUGGUGGCCGGUGCCGGGUCCACUGCACACAGCAGUCGCCGCCACAUCUGUCGUCUCCAGAUCUGAGCAGAUGCUCACCGCCGUCCCUUUCGACAACAUGUGCUCCGCCUCAUCGAGCGAGGACGCGGGGUGCUGCUUCUGAGUACACAGGAACCGCCUCAUCCGGAGAGGACUCGCCGCUGUUCCACAACGAGGACGCCGCCGAGGUCGUUCCGCAACACGCCGUUGUUCCAGCAAUAAAACGCAGGUUUUGUUGGCCCCUAAAUUGUCUCCUUUGCUGAUAAUGAUUAUUUAUUUGUCCUUCCUCUGCACAAUUGAGCGCAUGAUUUCAAUUGCCAUUGUACAAUCUGCAUCACAUGCCAUGCUAAAGGCAGUUAUGUCAUUUGAUUAACAGAGUACUAGAUUCAACAUGAUCGGAGCAUCAGUGGCCUUGAAGUAGCAAGCCUGUUAGCAAUACACUGCUAUUGAUUUUUUUCAGCCGUGUUCAGAGCAAGAAAGCUAUUUUGUCUUUUCAAUGCAACCUUAGGAAGAUUACCAGGGAGCCCUAAUUGCCAGAAUUAAAUCUUGAUGACUACAAAAGUAAGGUGUGCAGUAAGCAAGUUUAGAGAGGGACAUAUGAAGUUUAGUCUGAAUUAGAACAAGAUAGGUUUGACAAACAACACACUUCUGGCCAUUGUUUAAUUGAUUGUUAUUAGGGAGCAAAGAUAUGCACACCUUCCUUUUCUUGAACUAUGCUGAGAGCACAUAGUUUCAUGUUGUCAAUUCAUAGAUCAUCACAUGAUUAGAACUUGCUCUACAGGAAAUUAAUAAUUCUCUGUACUGCAUUUUUUCAAAGUAAGAAUAAAAUGAGACAUGAGUUGUGACACUGCAGGACAAUGAGACUAUUUGAGGGUCUAUUUUGUGCACAAGCUGAAUUAUUAUUGUUUGGGCAAUCUGAUUAUGUAAUGUUUAACCUUUGGGUACAAUGAAAGUUACUGACAGAUGUUAUGUAACUGAACUAAUUUCUCUCGUUCGAUUUACCGCAAAAAUGUAAAUACUAAGGAUGAGCAGAGAGAAGAACAAAAGUCACUGAUUUGGGGAAAUAAAUAAUGUUAGCAUAGAAGAGCA
rnacentral:rRNA from 1 species